UGAUAGACGGGCUUUGAGAAGUGGAAAUGAAAGAUGGCGCCAAGGUUUUUGAUCUGAGUAACUACAGGAAUGGAAUUCCCCUUAGUGAAGUGAGGAAUGUCACAAUAGCAAGUGAUGACAUCAAGUAAACAACUGUAUAAACAAAUCUGCAGUUUGGUGGGGAAUUUAGGAUACAGAUAUCCAUUCGUGGGUCAUUGGCAGUCCUAUAUGAGAUCACCUAGGGAAAGAGUGGAAACAGAAAAGAGAUGAAGUCCAGGGACUGAGGCCUCGUUUGGGAAGAUGUGGACAGACUAGUGAAAGAGACUGUAAAGACAUGACUGGAGAAAUAAAUAUAAAGAGAAGGUGAAACCCUGAAAGCUAAAUGAAGAAAGUGUUCUAAGCAGGAAUGAUCACUGUGUCAACUGAAGCUGACAGGUCAAGCAAGGUUUCCAGUGCCUUCAAGAGCACAGACUAAAGGCAACUCUGCCUCACACUUGACCCAAACAAAACAGUGAUGACUAUAAAGGACUCUCAUUUUUGGAAGGACUGAUGCUGAAGCUGAAGCUCCAAUACUUUGGACACUUGAUGAGAAGAGCCAACUCAUUGGAAAAGACCUUGAUGCUGGGAAAGGUUGAGGGCAAGAGGAGAAGAUGGUUGGAUGGCAUCACUGACUCAAUAGAUAAGAGUUUCCGCAAGCUCCAGGAGGCAGUGAAGGACAAGGAAGCCUGGCAUGAUGCAGUCCAUCAGGUCACAAAGAGUGGGACACAACUGAGUGACUGAACAACAAUAUUUUACCCACCCAUUUUCAG
ensembl:lncRNA